rnacentral:lncRNA from 1 species
UUGAGUGAGGAGCUCAUGUGCCACUAGUGCGCUGACCCACAGGGGACGACGCGUUGAGAGAUAGCUAAAACGCAGCGGCCAAGGCGAUGACCCAUAGGGGACUUCGUGUCAGGUGCGUCUAAACUUUGUAAAGUUGAGUGAGGAGCUCGAUUCGAGGUGAUUCAGAAGUUAAAUGAUUUGACAACUAUUGCGUAUUUCCAAGGUGACAGUUGGGUGCCAUGCCCAUUCUCCUAAAAGGCUGUUACGGCUACUUAUUAUUGACGACUGGUGGUGCCGAGGUGACGUGUUUUAAGCGAGCGUGAAGGUUAUAGUGACAUCUUGGGCGUAGAUCAAAUCUGGCGUUUCAUUUCAAUGGUUUAGAUUGAAGGCGCGAUGAAUGGCUUAGAUUGAUCGCAUUUGAAUUCAACGGUGGAGAUCGGAUGGGUCUUUCUAUAAAAGGCGGACUCUGAGCUUUUCUCAAGCUUUCAUCCUUGUGAAAACAGACAAUACACUUUGCUCUCAAGCCAUUUGCGAUUUUCGACAUUUUCUAAGCAAUUCCGAUGAGAAACUUGAACUUCCGACAAGAAAUACCAAUAUCCGGCGACCUUACACCAUUUCCAGUUAGGAAAACCUUCAAACUUGUAAGUUUCAGUACCUUUUAGGAUUUUUAACUUUUGCAAAAUGGCUUCUGAGGGGAGUUCUGGUUCGGGGAGGGGGUUAGAACUAGUGAGGAUGGACAAGCCCAUUGUGGCGGCCUCUUCAGAAAUAGCCGAGACAAUAACAGAGGGGAUAAAUAUAUGGAAGCGACUGGAUAGCCCAGCAGAUACUUCUGUGCACUGGGGGCGUUGGACUACCCAUCUAAACUAAGAGAGGCCGACCUGGAGAGACUUAUGGUAGAGUAUAGGAUCCCAGAUAGCAUAGAUCUGAUCCUUCCCGAGCUCGAAGAGAGGGCCUGCUACCCUAGGCCGGGUUGUGUGGCCAUUAGUGAGGCGAUCCUUAGGACCGGAGUUAGGCUGCCAAUUCACCCAUUCUUUAGGAUGGUGCUUAGAUCCUACGGGCUAGCCCCGACCUAACUCAAUCUGAAUUCCUAGAGCCAAAUGAUGGGCCCCUAGAUGUUGUGGAAAGAGGCGUCACUAAAGGUGGAGAUGCCCUUUUUCAUCUUCCAGACCCUUUACAUACCUAAGAUAACUGUCGGGGGGAGGGGGAUAAGACCCGGGGGUGGCACUACCUUACUUCAUGGGGUUCUGAUGAGUGAAUUUCACUCAUUGAUUUAAUGUUUCUUAAGCUUGAAAUAUUUGGUUGUUUUCGAGAAAUGUAGAACGUUUUGAUGCGGGUAUUUGUGUUGCUUUAUAGGUAAACCAAUUUGGUGAAAUGGUGAGUUUGAAGGGUGGAAAAGAGUCAAAGUUACAUAGAAGUGAAUGGACAAGAAGAAGCAUCAAAAUGCACAUGAAAGACGAUGGAAGAAAGAAGGAAGAAAACCAACUAAAAAACAACUUGCCACAGUUGCAACGCCUAGGCGCCACAAAAAGGAGCAGAAACUCAGCGCCUAGGCGCCGCAAAACAGCGCCCAGGCGCUGUACACGCACAAAGGAAGCAGAACUGCAGCGCCUAGGUGCCACAGUGCAGCACCAAGCUGAAACAAGAUAGAGACGCAGCGCCUAGGCGCCACUUUUGUAGCGCCCAGGCAAUGCAUGCCGAGAAAGGAAAAACGCGAUUUUUCCAAAUAUUUUCGACCCAGCCCAACUCCAACUCGUAAUGUAAAUUAAGGGGAUUAUAAAUACAUAUUGACAGACCUAAGAAAAGGGGUUGGACAGCUGAAAAAGGGAGGCAAGGAGAUACACUAAUUGAGAGAAGAAUCACCGGAUUUUGGAGAAGAAAUCAAGCUGCAACCUAAGUUUUUCUUAUCUUUCUCUUCUCCAUGCGAUUUAAUUUGUAUUUUAUUGUGUUCUUCUUCUCAAUCAUGAACUAAUUUAUUAAAUUUAGGGUUUGAUGUAACCUAUUUGAGACAUG